GUCCAUAUGAUGGUUGGUUCUCAGGAUUUUUCCUAAUCCAUUCCUGUUAUAACCUCAAAAAUAAACACGAGAUUUUCAAUAUAAUAUGCAAUAGUUUUUGCACAAAUAAAACUGAAUUAUUUAAUGAUUGGAGAUAUAAUCAAAUGGAAACAAAUGGAAUAUGUGUGAUUUUCCAUGAUAGAAACUUUUCUAUUCAUGUUUAAAAUUAAUUGAUAUUUAAAGCUCACGUACACGUUUCUUUGCGUAUACAUAAAUUGGAAGCUAUGCGAUUGAGAGGGUGGAGAUAUGGUGUAUUUGUCGGAGGUUUUGUUGGACUUAUAGGUGUAUUCUGUUAUGCUUCCAUGAUUCGACCUAUGCUAAAUCCUGAGCCAUAUAAGAGAUAUAGAGAACGAGCCUUCUCUUCGGACAAAUGAACAUAAGUUAUUCUAUAAAAUUUACUUGAAUGUUCCUGUAGAAUCAGUGUUUCGUAUAUGUUAUGUAAAGUUUUUUCAUAUAAAAGCUAGGUGAUAAGUAAAAAAUAAUUACAUGGCCUGUUUGUUGUAGAAAAUAUAUGUCUAUCAAUAUUUA